rnacentral:piRNA from 1 species
UACAACAAGUUGCGAGUGCAGCCGCCGGU